rnacentral:ribozyme from 1 species
CAUGCUCCAAUAUGCUACCUCUCUGUGGUGAGCAGCAGGCAACGAGAACCUAUCUCGGCUAAAGCACAU